UACGUAGGGGGCAAGCGUUGUCCGGAUUUAUUGGGCGUAAAGAGCUCGUAGGCGGUUCGUCGCGUCGGCUGUGAAAACCCGGAGCUCAACUCCGGGCCUGCAGUCGAUACGGGCGGACUUGAGUGUUGCAGGGGAGACUGGAAUUCCUGGUGUAGCGGUGAAAUGCGCAGAUAUCAGGAGGAACACCAAUUGCGAAGGCAGCUCGCUGGGACGUAACUGACGCUGAGACGCGAAAGCGUGGGGAGCAAACAGG
rnacentral:rRNA from 1 species